AGCGUGGAGACAGGUGGUGCAUGGCUGUCGUCAGCUCGUGUCGUGAGAUGUUGGGUUAAGUCCCGCAACGAGCGCAACCCUCACCCCUUGUUGCUACCAGGUAAAGCUGGGCACUCUAGGGGAACUGCCCCGGUCAACGGGGAGGAAGGCGGGGAUGACGUCAAGUCAUCAUGCCCCUUACGUCCUGGGCUACACACGUGCUACAAUGGCCGGUACAAAGGGAUGCCACACCGCGAGGUAGAGCUAAACCCAAAAAGCCGGUCUAAGUUCAGAUUGGAGUCUGCAACUCGACUCCAUGAAGGAGGAAUCGCUAGUAAUCGCGUAUCAGCACGACGCGGUGAAUACGUUCCCGGGCCUUGUACACACCGCCCGUCACACCACGAAAGCCAGCUGUACUCGAAGUCGCUGAG
rnacentral:rRNA from 1 species